CUUUUCAUUUAUUUCAAUUGUAGAGACCCCAUAAUCCAUUAGCCACUACCAAAGAUCCCCAUGGAUGAAACAGCUCGCUUUUGAUCCCACAUGGUGUCUGUCAUAGUAACUCUGCUGUCAUUGUCUCUGGCAGUUUCAUAACCCCCACUGACAACGGGGGGCUGAGGAGGAGGAGGAGCGGAGACCAUAGUUAGAGGGUCCUACAAAACCACAGCCUAUGAAUCUGUAUGUUCUCAUCUGGAUCACUCCAUUUUUCAUACAAAGUGGAUGACCAGGUGCAUCAUCCCCAAAGCUUUGCUCGUUGGGGACACAGUCUUUUAGGGUCACCCCUGAAUUUAACAGCAGUCCAUUCAUAAAUUAAGUAUGAACUUUUCCCCUCUUCUAUCAGCUGGUUAUGUGUGACCCUGUGAGGCCAUAGUUCUGAGCAAUAAAUAUGAACAAGAGGCACAAGUACAGCAUCGGUGAAUGACAUGUGUGUACUCUAUGGCCCUACUUUUGCCUGAUCCCAAAUGUGCCACUCCCCUCUUACAAUAAUUGCUGGGCCCACCAAAUCUCACGUUUCAGGAAGCCUAACAGCCCAGUUCAUGAUGAUGACGCCCCAUAAUUAGAUGCUCAUUCUUUCCUAAAGCCUAGGAGCAUAGCAGCUGCUAUUUUUUAAGUGGUGUAAAAUUUUCUGCUAAAGAUGAUACUGUUUUACUCCAGAAAUCAAAGGGUCUAUAUUAGGAUUAUCCUCGUAGGGCUUGCUAUAAAUUCCACAUUCUUUCUUUUUUCAAUCACAGAUAGAUCUACAACCAAAGUCUGCAAUCCCCAUCUCAAAGGCUGCUUCCGAAAGAGCCCAACUGCAAUAGAAACUCUGGCAUCAUGUUUCCAAAGAAGACAGUGUGUUCUGGAUUUCCUUUGUUCACUUCUGGAAGUCAUCAUGAAGAAGGAAAUAGAUUUGGGUUUAUUUUAUACAGAGGAGGAAAUUCUGAAAAAAAAAAAAAGAAGAAAAGAAAAAAGAAGCACAUGUCAAAAGAUAAAAUAGUACAGCAGAAGGAUUCAUUGCCUAGGUCUGAUAUAGAACUAAUUGUUGGCAGAUGUGGCAAGUAUUUUGAGCCAAGAUAUAGUAUUUGUUUGCACUGUCUGAGUUUUCAGCCUUAACCAAUGUCAGGUCGUUGCAGCUGGUUUCUAUCAAGUCUCUGUAUACCACAGACCAUCCACCUGACAAAACAACAUUUGCUCAUGUGACCUUCGUUCAAAAGCCUUUAAUAUGGGAAUUCGACCAAGGUAAUAGGGAAAUUUUGUUGGAAAUUCCUAAUCAAAUUAGUGAGUGGCUUAAUCUAAUUUUUAUUUACAUGUAAAUGCCCGUUUUAUAAUACACAGGUAACAUAUGUUCCUUUAAAAAAACAAAUUCAUUAAAAUUUAUGGUUUUAGCUCAUCAUGAACUUUAAUUUUGGGCUUAAAAAUUAUGUUAAAUCCUUAUCCUCUACAUAGGCAUCAUUCGUAAAGCAAAGCUUACAAACCACUUUCUAGCUUUAGUGAAAAAGAGUGAUCUCACAGUCCAAACUACAGUAAACAGAAUGAGUUGGAUGGAGCGCACUGAUUUUGCAUUAACAUUCCUUUCUUUACUGACAGGCCUUCACUUUCCCUUUUCAUGCCAGAAUCAGUAUGGUGAAUUAUUUUCAUGACCUUCCUCGUUGUUUUAAAUAAAUAAAAGAUUAGCAUUUCAGCCACCCUGUUUACAUUAAACUACAAAUUCCAUAAGCCACAGUAGUGUUUGUGUUUUCAACUUUCAUGCGUUUUUUUAAUGGGUGCAUGAGUUCAUUUGUUUCAACUGCCCCAAAUAUUUUAAGAGUACUGCACUGUGGAGAAGUAUUUAUUUGAAGUAGCUGUGGAUAAUUUGCAAACUCUAUGAUAAUACAGUGGUCUUUAUUAAUGAAACAGAAAGGCUUUUAUUCUGUAGUCUCCCUGACACUGCAGGAAAUAAAAUCUCAGAGACCUAAGCUUUUAUUAGAAUGAUUUUAGUUUUGGAUUAUAUCUACUCCUUGGGUUGCAAAGCAUCUAAAAUAACGUGACUCAAAGGCAGUUUUACCUGUUUUCAUGCUAUCCGUGCAGUUACAAAAUACAGUGCUGGGGAAUAAAAGUUGUCUGAAUCUGAAAGCCUCACUAAACAAAACAUGAAAAAGGUAUAUGGUUAGAAAAGCACAAAGUAAAAGGAAUCUCACCUUCGGUUUUGGCAAAUGUUGAAAAUAAAUUUAUUUGGGAAAAUUUAAAAUACUUUGUGAUGCCAAAUAUAAGGUGUUCAUGCAAUAAGGCAAUUCCAUACUUUUUCAAUGAGAAAUCCACGUAAAGCUUUUUUUCCCUAUAACUUUGAGUAUUUAUGGAUGCAGGUGAGAUAGUCAAAUGUCUAUGUACAGUAUUUAAAAUAAUUGCUUAUGUAUAGUUAAAAUAUUGUAAAAUAAUGCAGCAAUUGUGAAUAUUGCUAUAUUCCACUCUAAUCUCAUAACAAUUUUUUUUUUUUCAGUUCUUCAUACAUAUACAUCUUGACCUCAGACUCCUGGUCAUCACUAGAGAAAGUUUUAAAGUUUUUAAACAAAAUUUUCCAGGAAUAUAAUUUUUAUAUUAAUU
rnacentral:lncRNA from 1 species